rnacentral:rRNA from 1 species
CCUACGGGAGGCAGCAGUGGGGAAUAUUGGACAAUGGGCGAAAGCCUGAUCCAGCAAUGCCGCGUGAGUGAUGAAGGCCUUAGGGUUGUAAAGCUCUUUUACCAGGGAUGAUAAUGACAGUACCUGGAGAAUAAGCUCCGGCUAACUCCGUGCCAGCAGCCGCGGUAAUACGGAGGGAGCUAGCGUUGUUCGGAAUUACUGGGCGUAAAGCGUACGUAGGCGGUUAUUCAAGUCAGAGGUGAAAGCCUGGAGCUCAACUCCAGAACUGCCUUUGAAACUAGAUAGCUAGAAUCUUGGAGAGGUGAGUGGAAUUCCGAGUGUAGAGGUGAAAUUCGUAGAUAUUCGGAAGAACACCAGUGGCGAAGGCGACUCACUGGACAAGUAUUGACGCUGAGGUACGAAAGCGUGGGGAGCAAACAGGAUUAGAUACCCUGGUAGUCCACGCCGUAAACGAUGAUAACUAGCUGUUCGGGCUCUACGAGCUUGAGUGGCGCAGCUAACGCAUUAAGUUAUCCGCCUGGGGAGUCGGUCGCAAGNUUAAAACUUAAGAUAGUGCG